rnacentral:rRNA from 1 species
AUACGGAGGGUGCAAGCGUUACUCGGAAUCACUGGGCGUAAAGCGCGCGCAGGCGGGCUGAUAAGUUGGAUGUGAAAGCCUACGGCUCAACCGUAGACCUGCAUCCAAAACUGUCAGUCUAGAGUGUGGGAGAGGAAGAUGGAAUUAGUUGUGUAGGGGUAAAAUCCGUAGAGAUAACUAGGAAUACCAAAAGCGAAGGCAAUCUUCUGGAACACUACUGACGCUGAGGCGCGAAGGCGUGGGGAGCAAACAGGAUUAGAUACCCCGGUAGUCC